GACGAACGCUGGCGGCGUGCCUAACACAUGCAAGUCGAACGGAGAUUGCAGCAAUGUAAUCUUAGUGGCGGACGGGUGAGUAACGCGUGGGCAACCUACCUUUCACAGGGGGAUAACACAGGGAGACUUGUGCUAAUACCGCAUAAUACUAUUGGAAGACAUCUUCUGAUAGUCAAAGGAGCAAUCCGGUGAAAGAUGGGCCUGCGUCCGAUUAGCUAGUUGGUGGGGUAACGGCCGACCAAGGCGACGAUCGGUAGCCGAACUGAGAGGUGGCUCGGCCACAUUGGAACUGGGACACGGCCCAGACUGCUACGGGAGGCAGCAGUGGGGAAUAUUGCGCAAUGGGGGAAACCCUGACGCAGCAACGCCGCGUGAAGGAUGAAGGUUUUCGGAUUGUAAACGUCUUUGAUGAGGGACGAAUAAUGACGGUACCUCAAAAACAAGCCACGGCUAACUACGUGCCAGCAGCCGCGGUAAAAC
rnacentral:rRNA from 1 species